rnacentral:rRNA from 1 species
CAGACGAUGCGUCAUGCAUAUCAAUAAGCGGAGGAAAAGAAACUAACAAGGAUUCCCCUAGUAACGGCGAGUGAAGCGGGAAGAGCUCAAAUUUGAAAUCUUAAAGGGCUUCCCUUUACGAAUUGUAGUUUAAAGAAGUGUUUUCUGUUGAGGUUUUGGUAAAAGUUCUUUGGAAUAGGACAUCAUAGAGGGUGAGAAUCCCGUAUUUGACCUUUACUUUCAACUUUGUGAUACACUUUCAAAGAGUCGGAUUGUUUGGGAAUGCAGUCCAAAAUGGGUGGUAAAUUUCAUCUAAAAGCUAAAUAUUGGCGAGAGACCGAUAGCGAACAAGUACCGUGAGGGAAAGAUGAAAAGAACUUUGAAAAGAGAGUUAAACAGUACGUGAAAUUGUCAAAAGGGAAGCGUUUGACACCAGUGUUGUUUUUCUGAAAAUCAAUUAAAGAACUGUUUAUGCUAAGUUGUUUAGACUUUAUCAGCUAACUGUUUAGUUUUGAGCUUUUCUUUAAUGCACUUUUCAGUUAACAAGUCAACAUCAAUUUCUUUUGCUGUAAAAAAGCUUGAGGAAGGUGGCUUGAGAUUCGUCUUAAGUGUUUAUAGCCUCUUGCCUAUGCAGUCGGAGAGAUUGAGGUCUGCAGCGUAGAUCCUUCGGGGCUAAAUGCAUUUGUGCUAAGUUAUAGCAUUUUAUAGACAACUUGUUGACUAUGAUUUGUCUUGUAGCUUACUCGCUUAUGUUAUUUUACCUACGCUUAGGAUGUUGAAGUCAUCGUAUCGCGC